UGCAUCAGAAGGAUCACGAGGUGCACUUUCGUUUGGUCUUGGUCGUCCAUAUGGUGGAUUGUUGGUAGGCCUUCCAUAUGGAUCAUUAGCAGGUCUUCCAUAUGGUGGAUCGUUGGCAGGCCUUCCAUAUGGUGGAUCGUUGGCAGGUCUUCCAUAUGGUGGAUCAUUGGUAGGUCUUCCAAAUGGUGGAACAACGGCAGGCCUUCCAUAUGGUCGAUCGUUGGUAUGACUUCCAAAUGGUGGAUCAAUGGCAGGCCUUCCAUACAGUGGAUCAAUGGCAGGCCUUCCAUACAGUGGAUCAAUGGCAGGCCUUCCAUACGGUGGAUCAUUGGCAGGCCCUCCAUAUAGUGUCGAUUUUCUGCUAGGCAUAUCAACAGGAGGAUCAUCGAAAGGGGCAAAAGGUGGAGGAUUAUUGGCAGUACUUGUAACUCCCAAAGUCCUAUUUCUAAGCCUCGAAGCAAUCUCUGUGAGGGCUCCUCUUGCAAUAGCUGGAGGCCCAGCAACCUGAAAGCUUGGAACAAAUGUACAGGUACAACGGACGUUAACAAAUUAAAGGUCCAGAUAAUAAAAACAUACAGAAAUAUGUUAAUGUAGCAGUUAUCAAAUAUUAAGUCACCUGCACAAGUUCAUCAUCAAAAGACAAGUAUUUUGGUUUAUCUGCCUUCGAGUAAACUCGAAUUUCAGCCCCAGUUCGUCUUCUCAUUUCAGUAAUCACCUUCCCACCUUCCCCAAGAAUACAGCCAACUUUGCUUGAUGGUACAACAAGCCUAGUACUUGAAUGGCGUUUCUCAGAGGGUGCACUUACUUUAUCAUGGAGCAAAAUGAGUGCCUCAAUUGCUGGGGAUAUUGGUUCAGAUGGUACCUGGAUGAAUAAAAAAGGAGAUAAAAUUGUGAGUAUUGGUACUAGAAAGUGAUUGGCAACUCAAAACCAGCUGCACUGUUACCUCCUUAGAUGAAACAAUGAUCAGACUUUCUCCAGAAGCAUCUUUGUCAAUCUCUUGAACUUUGAUGCGAGCACCAGUCUGCUGCUCUACUCGCUUAACAUUAGCCCCACUUUUCCCAAUAACUGAACCAAUGAGCUCAGAAGCACAUAGAAUUCUGAUAGAAAACUCUUCAGUUUCAGUAACAUGAUAUUGCAGUCCACUUCUAUAGGGAUCGAGCAGGGGUAUUGGAGGUGGAUGAUCACUAUGCAGGUGCGGCAACAUUGGAUUUUCAUGUUGUAGUAGUAUUGGGGACUCGCGUUUCCUUUGUGUGCUUGCAUUUAUUAUUUCUUCAAGAGGUCUAUUUUCCUUACGAGGAUGCUGAUGGAGACGAGUAGAUAUUUCAUAUAGAGCUUUUCUUACAAGAGAAGGUGCUCCAGAUAUCUGAAAUAUCAUAACAACAAUAUGAUAUAUGAUACCUAUGUACUGAUGUCCAAAAGUGAAACUAAGCAUGACAAAGACGCAAAUUUCAAGAUAUGAGAACAGCAUGACACAAAGUUCCAUCGUUUUGUUAAUUUAAUUAAUUGAUAGGGAAAAUCAAGUUAUCAAAACCAUGAGAAACUAGACAGGCAGAAGUAGAAUAACAAUUGAUAUGUCCACAGCGAAUUGUUUAUUUCGAGAAAAAAUAAUACAUGAACAAUUGAAUGCUAAUCCAAAUAUAAAGAAACAGCAUAUGAGGCCACAGGAACCAAUGGAAGCAAAAGGCAUUACCAAGCCAGACAAAAGACAAUAAAGGAUUUUCUACUAUUAAUACAGCCUUACCUGCACCAGUUCAUCACUUUUAAGUGCACACUGGGGAAGGUCUUCAGAUGGCAAGACACGGAUCCCAGCACCAGUAUCACUUCGUAGUUGUUGUAUAAUGGAGCCACCUUUUCCUAGAAGGCAGCCAACUUGAUUGCCUUGAACCAAAAUUCGAGCAGUCACAUCAUCAGCACUUUCAGACUUUUCCUCAUGGGCGACUCCAUCAUGAAUUUCAUCAGCCACAAUCUUAUCAUGUAUCUUCAAUAAGGCAUCUUGGGCAAAGCAAUGGGGUUUCAUGUUCCCUAAGCCAUCACUAAAUUUAGUUUCAGCUGCUUCAUCAGUCAGUUCAGGUUGAUUUUGGUAAUUGAAGAUGAUAAUUACUCUCUCAUCUGCACCAGGAAUGGGAUCGGCAACCCUUAUCUUGGCUUUAGUUUCUUCUCUGAGGGCCUUAACAACAUCACCACCUCUUCCCAAGACACUGCCUAUCUUUUUUACUGGGCACAAUAUCCUGUAGAUGGUUUCAACUGGCUCUGAGGACAUAGAUGUGUCAUCAUGCCUUGAGUUUAGCCGUUUCCUCUUUCUGUCCUCAGAAUUGGAAUAUGUCCUCUUUUUGGAGUUACUUCUUCUAGACUUGCCAUAAUCCAUCAAAAUCAAUCUUGCAGUUCCCCUUUAUCCACAUAAAGAAUAAUCCAUCAGAGCAAACAAACUGAUAAGAUACUGAUAACGAGGUCAUUAAACAAAGAUGAAAGGAUGCUGCAUGCACAUGUGCCUCUAGCAGCAUCCCCAAUGACAACACAUACACAGCCUUAUGCACGUAUAGCUGCUGCUGGAUGUCCAUGUUGCUAUUUUGUACUACAGAACACUAGCAUAGGCAAUUUUAAGUUCAACAACAUGUGUUGGCUGUUGACCAUGUACAGAUCAAGGCAUCCUGGUGAUCAAAAGUUGCAUGGAUUCAGGAUACAAAUUACCCACUGUUUGCUUUUAAAAUAUAUAAGUACAUUCAUUCAAUUCAAGAAGAGCUCCAUAUUAUUGAUUUCCUUUAAAAAUAAUGCCCAUGAAUAACAUGGUUCAUCUUCUAGAAGAAUUACAGCGAAUAACAAUGUCUGCAUGAAGUACGCAAAAUCUAAAGUCUUCCGGCAACUGAAAUCCAGCCUAAGAGAAACUCAAGGUACAAUUUUUUAUGUUCAAUUUUCCAGAAUUGCAGAUAUAAUGCCAGUAUGUGCUGAAAGGGAACAUCAUAUAAAGUACCAUGCCUAAUUUAAAUAAAUAAUGAAAACAUUAUAAAAACAGACAGGGGACAAAGCAGGCUAAAUAGUUUGAAAAAAAAUGCUAAAUGAACGUCUUAGAUGAAAUAGAAUAAAAACUUAACUGAGGCACAUUAUCACUAACAUUUCAUUACAAGCAAAAGGCUUCCUAGCAUAUGCAAGUAUGCAACUUGAAGCAAUUCCAUAAAAUAACCUCUGAAAUGGAUUAGCUUGUGCCCAUAAAAGAUGAGCAAUGACUUCACAAGCACACCUCAUCAACUACCAACUAGGUGCAAUGGAAAAUUUCUUAACCGCUCAUCUACAAUUCUACUAGCAUGUAUAAAAAAAGUAAUCAAACACUCACAUAAGCAUAUUUCAUAAGGGCAAUCAUUAAGGGCACUUCAGUAAGUGUAAAAACAUAACGCAGCAACACAAUUAUGCUGCAGCACAUUUUAACUGCACAGAUUCAGCAGAAUCAAUUAAUUUUGAGCCAAUAAAACAUGAAAGAUCCCAAAUUGAGGAUGCUAGACAUGAACCUUCAGGCCAGGGCUUUUGCACAGAUGAUUUGAGCUGCAGCCUGAAGCAUAAUUACACCCUAUGGUCAUUUUUAUUCAUCAUCCGGACCAGAGGAGCUAGUUCAAUUACUGAAGAUGAUUAUUGUCAGAAUGAAAAACCAGAGGUAGUACAAGGCAGGAAUUCAACUCAACCCCUACUUUUCAAAUAAACUCACUACAGCCUAAAAGAUCCACUAGCCCCAAACUGGAUGAGUUAAAGUACCUAUACUAGGAAAAGAGGACAUUUGUUUCUUUUCAGAGGACCAGCACAAAAGAUGUGGAUAUAGUGGCAACUUGCAUUGAUUCUGUAAUGUAACCUCUGCAAUAAUUUGGUUUCAUAUAAAAAAUGGUGAGGAAUGACGUGGAAAUCACACGUCUUUAGGGCAUUACCUAUAAGGUAAAAAGAAAGAAACAAAUUUCCAACUGCACAUCCUGAUCCUGUUGCAGCUCUAGCAAGGUUCCAAAAGGCGCUAGGCAGUUUUUAUACACAUACAUAUAUUACCUUAAAUUACCUUAAGUAAAAGAAAAAAUAGGAGACUUGUGGACCUAAAGUUGGAAGAAAGGCCCAUCAAAAGAGCUCAGCCCACCUUAUCCACCUAAACUUUAUCCCUUAACCCAGCCGCACACCCAGCUGCACACCUUAUCCCUUAGCCUCCUUCCACCCAGCCGCACACCCUGAAUCUCCCUCCCUCCCUCAGUAUGCGCCCGCCGCCGCCGGUUCCUCUCCCUCUCCUGCAUCUCUCUGUCCGUGCCCACCGCUGCCGAACUCGCACGCGCUCGCCGUUCCGCCCGAUGUCAGCGUCGCCUGCAUGCUCCCUGCCUUGGGUGCAUCUGCACGCAUACCGCAAAAGCCACCAGGCUGGCACUGCCUAAGGUACCGCCUAUUCCCCUAGGCCAGGCGGUACCCCUCCGCCCAGCGCAAAGGAGCGCCUAGGCUAGCGCGUAACAGCGCCUUUUUGAAGACUGAGCUCUAGUAGCAAUUUUUUGAAAAAAAAGCAAGCACUCAAAUAAAAUACCACAUAAGGCAAGUCAUUUAGUGCACUUGAGCACGUGCACAAAAAAUCUCAGUAAUUGUGCCCAUAAAUAAAAGAACACAUAAGGCAAGUCAUUUUGAGCACCUGGGAGCACGUUACUAGCACGGGAAAGAUACAGUUUGACUUCCCAUUUUCAGCUCACAAUAGCAUUCAAGAUCAAAAUUUUUAACUGCGCAGAUUUCAUCACCCACGUCAUGCUCAAUCAAUAGCACAAGAAAGAUGCCGAGCUGAGCACACUGCACGCGAACCCACUUGCAGGGGUAUCUACACGUGAUUAGUAUAAGCUCAUGAGAAUUCAACUGAACCACCAAACGUUUAGGAAACCAAUCUCGCUACGGACAAAAAAAAAAGAACACCCUGCUCCGCUAAACUGAUCGGAGAACAUGGGUGUACAAAUUGACGCCCAAUAAAUUUAGCAGAAAAUUAGGCACAGUACAUGCAUACACUUGUAAUUAGGUCAGAUCCGGUUACAAACAUCCAGACAGCUUAAGUUAGGGUUCGGGUGCUCGGUUUCGCACGGCAGGAAGGAAGGGACGAGAAGGGGUGCGUAUACCUGCUGGGUGCUCGUCGCCGGCGAAAGGGCGGACGAAGACCUAGGCUCCUAGCGUAGGCGGUGGCGGCGGCGGCGGCGGCGGUCGCCCGGUUGUCGCCACGAGAGAAAGCGCGCGCGGGCACACGGGGUGAACGGGAGAGCAAAGGCAGGGGCCAGGGGCAGGGGGUGAACGCUGUCGGAGUCCGUGGCUGUUCCUAUUCAGUUAGGCUUUGUUUGGAUAGACUUGGAUCGGCGUGGAUUGGUAUGGAUCCCGGUCUCGGAUGGAAACCAGCCCACACCGGAGUUUCAGCCCACGUGGAUGCAGAAUUGCGGAUUUGGCUGACGCCGGGUUGGAGCCAAACCCGCUUGAACCACGUCAAUCCAAGGGAGAGAGAAAUAUCCUCACCCGAGGCCGGGACUUUGCUCCCGCAGCACGCGACUCUGCCAGCGCUCCCGACUCGCCGGCGAGGGCAACGCCACCGCUCGCACUUGAAAAAGGUAUGUUCUCCGCCGCCUCCAAUUCUCGUUGGACUCAUUCCCUCCUCCCUUCCCUUCUACUCAGCCGGUUUCCCUUGUUAGGGUUUCAGUACACCGCGGCGGCCGACGAUGGCAUCGGUUCCUGGCGGUUUGGAUGGAGGGAGACGGUGGCAACUCCACGUCCUGAGGUGCGGAUCUACUCCUCUCAUUUCCCUUCUCCCCCUCUCGUUUUGCUUGAACAUGCUAGUAUGACAGUGGGAUGUUUGAACCUGCUUGUACGGUGCCGUGUUCCCAGGAGCUGUGCUACUUUUUUUUUUAACAAGAUCUGGAUAUUGUUUUCCUAAUGCCAUGCUCUUGCUUGUGAUAUUUUGUGUCAUGUUUGUACUUGCUGCACAUUAUUCCUAAGUUCCUGUUGCCAUUAUGUUUUUCUUUCAGUUUCUUGUGUAGGAAUAGUAGCAGCAGAAUGUGUUUUUCAGUAAAUUUAUGGUCAAAUUACUUAAGAAUGGAAAUAGAGGUUAGUGUAUAGGUAUAUCUCAGUCGCUAUACUCAUGUACAUUGUAUAUAUGCCAAAAUGGAGCACCAACUGCAGCAAUUUAAUUUACAAAACUAACAACAAAGUUACACCAAGAUUACAAUUUUUAUUAAAAAUAUUGACUUCAAUUAAUAUUACCCAAAAAUCAGUGUGCUGUCUUCUUUCAGUUUCCUUUUGGGCCACAUUUGUUCUCUAUACCCAUUGUUCAAAUGAGCUAUUGCUUGCAGUAGAUACACCAAGUUCAUGCUUGAUAUUUGCACAAAAGAAUGCAUGUUACGUUCUGCAUGCCUUAACAAGUAUCUUGAGAAGUUUCUUAAGUUUUGUGAUCUCGGCUUAUGUACAAUGUACAGUAGUCCUUGACUGUAUGUGCCUUUUCCCUUUUUGGUAGGACACCCCCUUAUCCUUCCAAACUGCAAUUGCUAUCCAGGAGCACAUAGAAAGCCUACAUGAGGCCGCAGUUAGCGUGAUUCCAAUCUCAGCUGCAGCUUGUUGCUGGAUUUGGCUUAUAACAUCCUGUCCCUGCGUAUUACUCCCUACUGUAGGUCUUCUUCCUCAGCUGUAGCUCGUCGCCAUCUCAUAUCUCUGAUAUUUGUUUGGGCUCAUGCUCGUAUAGCAGCGUGUGCAGACAGUUGAGACAGAUGGAAUGGAAAAAGAACAUGGAGAAACUUUAGCUAGCAGAACUAGGGCACGUUUGGUUUGUUACCAAUACCAAACCUCGCCGCAGCAUGCCGCACUCUCCGCCAUAUAUGAGGCAAGUGUUUGGUUCCUGCAGUUCAUUUUUCAUGCCACAUUCUGGCAAAUGUGCGGCGGCCAAAUUUGGCGUCGUAGUUCCGGCGCGGCCGCAGUUGAUAUCCGGCAUCCUACGGCAAUAACCAAAUGCGCCCCUAGCUUCUCCAUAUUCUCUAAUCUUUUGCUAUUUUUUUAAUAUCUUGAACCUUAUAUCCAUGUGUAGUCCUUCAGAAAAUCUUGUAGUAGCUCUUUUGGAAUUUUGUUACUUCUUGGAUGGAUGUAUGCUUUGCGUCCAUGCCCUGUGCGUUGAAAAUCUGAACACAGUCAGUAGCGCACACAGGUGCGGUUCAAAGCCUUGUGCUACUAAUGGCCUAGUUACUGGUUAAUUAUCUUGUAGUAUUGUAAAUAGUUAACCUGUGCUGAAAUGCAUUCAGUUCUUACAUAAGCCUGAAAUUUGUGACGAAAAGUAGUACAAAUUUAGUAUAUCUUGCUUUUGCUCAAACAGGAGUCUUGAGACUACCAUUUUUUAUGAUGUUUGUUUUAAUUGGUUGAUUUCUUUUAUGAUAAGGAAGAAAUAGUUAGUAUUUUAGUUUCUGUGGCUCAAUGAACUGCUCAGUUUGGCAGGCCACUCACUGUUUGUUCCUGGACUUCUCAGCUAAGUUUAGCUGGGCCUCCUCAGCCUAGGAGUAAAAGCAUUCAUAUUAUAAUAUUGGAUAGUUGCAGUAAAAAUAUUCAUUCAGUUCAAAGGAGGCCUAAACGUUUUCCUAGUAUUUGUUCAUAGCAGGCAUCAGGCUUACAUGCAUGAUUAGGUUCAACAUAUUUCGAUACAUUAUGACAUUCUUUACAUUUGAUUGCAGACUUUGAAGACCAUUAGGUCAAGGUCUUUGAUUGCAUAGUUCUGAAUGCAAGAGGAAGCAUCUUUUCAAUUCAACUUCUUUAGAAGUCGUCAGUUGCUGAACAAAUCAUGGUGCUGAUUUUUUUAGUCAUCAUUUCUUAGUGAAUUUUGGCACUAGUUAUAUAGUAAUUUUUUAGAAAGAAAUGUUGUGGGAAACAGUAACUGGCUGAUUGUAUAUUGCUCAAAGAAAGGCAGACUUUUUGUUUUGAAGUCUCUUUUUUGGGAGAUUUUUUUAAGAGGAUGUGAAGAAAUGUUAUGGCAAUAGUGCUAUAAUUUUCUGCAUGGAUGUAUGGUAUACCUUUGCUUUCUAUUUUUUCAUAUUUUUUUUAUUUUAAAAGAUGAAUUUUGGAUUCAUCUUGCUCCUUUUCUUUUGAAAUUUAGGGAUCAGCCUGGAUUGGCCUCGCUCUUUUUAUGCCUUUUUCCCCCAAAUUUUUGAGAUGAACUUAUGUAUUGCUUUUGUUCUUAGUUCACAAAUGAUGUUCGCUUUGGGUGUUAGCGGUUGUUUAUUAGAACCCCGGCACGCCAUACCAAAAGCAGAACCCCUGCCUUUCCAAAAAGCAACAUUUUUUGCUUAGGGGAUUAAACCCACAGGUGGAGGGGGAUUGGGUGGCGGAAGGGGAUUAACCCAAUCCCUUCAUGGAUGGAUUCUCACGUGGGUUAUGCCCCUGAAGUGCCAAACGAAGCCGGAAGGGUCCAAGGGACCACUGCCGAAACCGCGGGCCCCGCAGCCUAGGCAAAUUGGGGACGUAAUGAUCAAAGUCCUACGGAAGUCCAACUCUCCUAAAACAGCAAAAUCUUUGAGAGAUUUGUGCUUGGAGAGGAAAACAUGCAUUAUUUCCGAUAUAGACAAAAGGAAGGAAAGGAAGACAUGAUUGGCUUCUGUGCGGGGGCGAUCUUUGGGCCGUCCAAUAACGUGUGGCCUGGGAAGAUUUGGGGGUUGGAGCAGACAGGUUAGUUAAAGUAGGAUCUCACACAGCAUAUAGAACAACACAAGGAUUAAUUUGCCUGUUUAGUGCUAGGGGGUGCCGAGGAGUCUGGUGGCAAGAGGGGGGGGGGGAGCUUAAACGUUCUGACUUGGGUACAGUGGGUUCACUCACAUCUAAAUCAAAACCUCUCGCCACCAAGAAAGCCUAUUCGCGAGAGCAAGGUCGAGCGGGAGACUGAGAGGAAGAAGAUGGCGCGCAACUUUGGUUCACGUGAUAGAGGGGAAAGGGGGAAUGUGGGAGCGUUUGGGCCCUACCGUUGUGAUCGGGGUGCCGUAGGAGCAGGGCGAAGCUGGGGCGGACGGGAUAGUUGAUUUGGCGGGGCAGCGCUCCUCGUGGCGUUUUCAGAGGGGCUCGUCCUGGCAGGUCUGGAGGUUUCGGCAGGGGACGGGAUGGAUAGUUCCCUCCCCCGCCGGCUGGAGGUGGCAGAGGCGGCUCUGGGGACCAGGCACAUGGUAGAUGGGUGUGGCAGGAAGAUGGGCAAUAACCACAGGUGACCUUCAGAAGUCGACGGUGGGGCUCCAGGGCAGGGGUCUGACAUGGACUUGGAUUUGUCUGUGGAGGAUAGUUGAGCAAGUUUUCACUAUAUUUUAACUUCAGUUUUAGCAUAUGACAAAAGUGUUGGUUUCUUUGUUUUGUCUUGACUCUUUUAUUGGUAAUUGGAGUCUCUAUCUGUAACGCACCUUUUUUCCAGGUAAAAUGACUCUAAAUUUGUGCACCUUCUUCAGGUGAAAACAUGGAUUACAACCUUGGUGACACCUCCCCCGAUCCCUACGGUGGUGGUGGUGGAAGCAUCCACCUAGUGUGUGAUCAUUGCGGCACCAGUGACAACUACAACACUGACGACGCUGAUGAUGGCCAAUUCACGUGCCGUACGUGCUCUGCCGUGCACACCACACAGGCAACUGCUGCUGACCCUCAUUACUUCCCUGUCACUGGCAGCAUCUCUGUCCGCCGUGUUGCCACCCAGCCCACCCCCAAGCUUGGUGCCCGCACACCCGCCCCCUACCCGAGGACCCCUCAGGCUGCUUCAGUGCCUGCUGCUGCCGCUUUUGACGACUUCAUGGAGCUGAGUGAGCCGCGGGACUUUGCUCCUGGAUCUGGAACGUGGGGGGAGCCUGAGGAUUUGGCAGUGCGGGUCCGCUGGCGCUAUGUACGGGGUCUCCAGGUGAUCCUGCAGCGGCAGCUGGAGGUGCUGGUGGAGCGGCACCAGGUAGGCGCGACUGUGUGUGCUGUCGCUGGCAUUGUCUGGGUGAGGUGGGUUGCUGCAUCCGGGGUGUUUGACGGAAUCUGGGUGCACCAGGUGCUCGAGGACCACAAGGCCAUGGGGAGAGAGAAAUGUUCUAGCAGCAGAGGUGAGCCGUUAUGCUAGCCCUUGUUAGUCAUUGCCAUCAGAUGAACUGAACAGACUCUGACAUACAUCUAUCUCUUGUUGCAGAUAACAAGAAACCUGAUGAGGUGAAGUAUGAAUCAGAUGAUGAUAUGUUGCUGCAACGAAAAGACAGGCGCAAGGUGGAGUUUGCCUUCUUGCGCUCGUUGAGGAUGAUGCUGCCGGUUUACUCAACGUUGGCUGUUUGUUUCUUGGCCUGUCAUAUUGCCCGUGAAGCCAUCCUGCCAAACGACAUUUACAGGUGGGCAAUGGAGGGGAAUGUCCCUUAUGUGGCUGCAUUUACCGAAGUAGACAGGUUCCUUGGGAGCUCUUUCCAAGACUGCCCUUUGGAUGCAAGGCAGCUGUUCAGGCCGGUGCGAGUUAUUGGAGCAUGGCAACUGGAAGCUGCAGUUGGAUCCAUAGCACAAAAAGUAGGCUUGAGGCUUCCUUCAGUUAACUUCUAUGCAAUUGCUCAUCGUUGUUUGAAGGACUUGUUACUACCUAUAGAUAGAAUCCUCCCCCACGCAUGCCGAAUUUAUGAGUGGGCAAUGCCUGCAGAAUUGUGGUUGUCUAGUAAUCCUGCUAGAGUCCCUACACGGGUUUGUGUGAUGGCUAUCCUAAUUGUGGCCCUACGACUUCUUUAUAACAUCAACGGUCAAGGGAUAUGGGAGGUGUGUUUGUCACAUUGAUUACCUUUCUUCAAAACAUCUUAGGUCCUUGAGAAAUGCAUAUGACCUGAAGUAACUUUUCUUUGCAGAAGAUUUGUGAGGAAGGAAGAAACACAAGUGAAUCUCACCAUGAUACAAAUUCAUCAACUUUCAGGAAGCUUGAGGCUAGUAACAGUGAGGAGUUUGGCACAAGAGAACUGUUGUGUGCUAUUGCAGCUGCCUAUGAUAAAAUCAAUACGACACAUGGUAAAUUUGAAUUUCAUUGCCUUGUCUACACAUUAUGUUUAUCUUGUAGUAUACAUGGUAGUUCGCGGCAUGCUUAUUCUGACUGUCGGUAGUUUAUAUCCACUUGCUAUAUACACUAAGCGUAAGAAUUGUUGAUUGCAUAUUCCACGUCUGCUGAAUCCAAGACCAACAUAUGUCUUUUUCUGUCAAUCAUUCUGUGUUUCUAAACUUAACAAAAUAUGCAUAACUGUCCUACACUACAUGAUUAUUACACCUCUAGUAAUACCCUAACAUAGAGCAAUUAGCAUCAACUUUUGCCAUGCACAAACAGGGCAAACUGAUGGAGAACAUUGAACCUGUUAUGUGGUAGCUAGGAUCGAGAAGGGUGAGAUGGGGAAGCAGCGACUGCUUGCGUGCUACAGUACCUGCAGAGCUACAUUACCUGCAGGUACUGUUCAUACCGGAUGUUAUGUCGGCGGCUAGGGCUGCGAGGGCGAGAGGAGGCCGGCCGGGGGCCUUGCCCACGGCCGAGCAAGAGGAAAGUGUUUUCCUUCUUAAUUCUUACUUGACCUCUAAGCAAGCGACCUUUAUCUCUAAUUAACCCUAACACUAAUGGGCUAUGGCACCAGCCCAGGCCCAAUAGGUCCCUUACGUACUCUAACACUACACCCCACCUAGUGUUACGGCGCUGGGCUUUGCUGCGGAGGUUGUAGGGAGGAGAGUGGAGAGGUUGAGGGCGUGAGCGUUGGCGGCGGCGGAGAGCUGUCGCUGGCAGAGCAGGAAGACAUACAGGGAAACAGGGAAGGGGUGCUGGGUGCCCAAGGGUGUCUUAGACACAAUCCCAGGCUGAGCCUGAUUCAUUAACUUGACUGGACUUUAUAGUCCUAUUACAAUCUAGGUAACAAACUCUGAUUCCUUUAUCAAACCUGGACUCUAACCCAAACUCUAUCAUAUCUUUCCAAAAUCUACCUAAUCUUAUCUAUCUCAAACUCUAACAAACUAUCCAAAUUCUAGUCCUAUGCGCCAGGACUCAGCCCCCUUGCUGACGCCUGCGCUGGUAGGUGUUGCCUACCAUAACAUCUCUCCCCCCCUCGGGAAACAGCUCGUCCGCGAGCUGGAAGGAGGGGUAGGCUUCUCUGAAAUCUGGAACUGGCUCCCAAGUAGCAUCCGACGUUGGCAGACCUGACCAUUCCACGAGAACGUGCCAUACACCGCGACGAAGUUCAGAACGCAGCACCCUUUCUGGAUGAAGUAAAGGCCUGCCAUGACGAAGAGGAGGCAGAACUGGUUGGGACAACGGCGGUGUGCCGCGAAAUGGUUUGAGUACCCCGACAUGGAAGACAUCAUGGAUACGAGCGUCAUCUGGAAGCUGCAGACGGUAGGCCACCUCACCAAUGCGUUCAAGCACUUGAAAAGGGCCAGCAUACUUGGGUCCCAACUUGCUGCGUCCCCCCGGAACCAAGGACUGCGUAUGACGGUGGAGCAAACGUAGCAGAACCCAGUCCCCAACAGCAAACUCCAGGGCACGGUGAUGAGCAUCAUAGAAGCGCCUAGCGUACUGCUGUGCCUGGAGAAGCCGACCGCGAACCUCUUCCAAGAACUCAUCACGGCUGGUCAGGAGAGCAUCAACCACCUCAGUGCGGGCAUGUCCUGAGGUAUAUGGCAGUAAGUCCGGUGGUGGUCUGCCAUAAACCACUUGGAACGGCGAUGUUUGCAGCGCCGUGUGAUAUGCUGAGUUGUAGCAGAAUUCAGCCCAUGGCAACCAGUCAAACCAAUCACGGGGACGGUCACCAGUCAAACAACGGAGGUACAUGGUUAUCGUCUUGUUCACAGCCUCUGACUGCCCAUCCGUCUGUGGGUGAAAAGCGGUGCUCAUGCGCAACUUCACCCCCGCAUGUCGAAACAAAUCCCGCCACACAUGACCGGUAAACACAGGGUCACGAUCACUGACAAUAGACUCCAGAAUGCCAUAGAGACGCACUAUCUCCUGGAAGAAGGCACGCGCGACCGAAGAAGCCGUGUAGGGAUGGCCCAAAGGAAUGAAAUGGGCGAACUUAGAGAACCUGUCAACCACGGUCAGCAGAACACUUUUGCCAUGGACCUUUGGCAGCGCCUCGAUGAAAUCCAUGGAGAUGUCCGCCCAAAUGCGCGACGGCACCGGCAGGGGCUGCAGCAAACCAGCAGGGUGGAGCGUUUCAGUCUUGUUCCGCUGGCACACCGCACAAGACCGCACGUAGUCCCCUACGACGCGGCGAUCGUGCUCAACGAAAAACUCCGAACGAAGCCGGAGCAAGGUCUUCUGUACUCCCUCGUGGCCUCCUGUGUGAGCGAGCUGUAGAACAUCUUCGAGGAGGCCUGACGAGGACGGAACGAAGACACGCCCUUUGUGGAGCAUGAGCCCUUCCCGAACAGUCCAGGCCUCACCAUGCGCCCCGGACGCCACCGCAUCGCGUCGGGCACAGAGUACAGCAUCAGCCUCCACCUCCCUGCGCAGUUCAUCAAAGAGCCGAAAGGUGGGAACAGAAACAGCUGCGUAGCAAGCCACUGUCGGCCCUGCAAGUGCAGCCAGCAGCGGCUCUUCGCCGUCCCGCCUAGAGAGAGCAUCAGCAACGAUGUUGGACCGGCCCGGACGAAAUUCGACCCUGAAAUCAUACCCAAACAGUUUGCUUAUCCAAUGAUGUUGAGGAAUUGUAGAUAACCGCUGAUCCAGCAUAAACUUAAGGGCGUAAUGAUCUGUCCGGACAACGAACGCCCGCCCCCAUAGAUAGGGUCUCCAAUGCCGCACGGCCUGAACGAGGCCGAUAAGCUCUCUCUCGUAGGCCGCCACCUUGAGAUGACGGGCAGCAAACGGCCGACUAAAGAAAGCAAUUGGCGCGCCAUCUUGGUGCACCACUGCCCCGAAGCCGGAGCCCGAGGCAUCGCAAUCGAUGAUGAAGGUGGCAGCGAAGUCGGGCAGGUGUAGAACUGGCGCCGAAGUGAGAGCAGCCUUCAGAGCAGAGAAGGCCAAAUCGGCCGCCUCCGACCACUGGAAUGCGUCCUUGCGGAGCAGCUGCGUCAAGGGCGCUGCAAUGAUGCUAUAAUCCUUGAUGAAACGCCGGUAAUAGCCGGCCAGUCCGAGGAAACUGCGGAGGCCGCGUGCUGCACGUGGCCGCGGCCAAGACUGCACGACUGCCACCUUGGCGGUGUCCAUGGCCACGCCCUCGGCCGUGAUGACGUGGCCGAGGUAGUGGACAGCAGCAGUGGCGAAGGAGCACUUGAACCGCUUGAGGUGGAGACGAUGAGCGCGAAGGACGACGAGGACGGCGCGCAGGUGCUGCAGAUGUUCCGUCCACGAGGAACUAGGAACUGUAGAUGAGGAUGUCGUCGAAGAAGACGAGCACGCAGCGGCGAAGGAACGGCUUGAGAACGGAGUUCAUAAGCGCCUGGAACGUCGACGGCGCGUUGGACAAGCCGAAAGGCAUAACCAAGAACUCGAAGUGGCCAUGAUGCGUGCGAAACACCGUCUUGUGGACAUCUGCAGGGUAAACGCGAACCUGGUGAUAUCCCGAGCGCAAAUCCAACUUGGUGAAGAACUUUGCGCCAUGCAGCUCGUCCAGGAGUUCCUCGACAACCGGAAUUGGGAAUUUGUCCUUGACUGUCGCCGAGUUGAGAGCCCUGUAAUCGACGCAAAAGCGCCAAGUCCCAUCUUGUUUCUUGACCAGCAGGACCGGAGCGGAGAAAGGCGAGGUACUGUACUGGAUGAGUCCCUGCUGUAGCAUCACCUCACACUGCCGCUCCAGCUCGUCUUUCUGCAGCUGUGGGUAACGGUACGGCCGCACCGCCACGGGCUCUGUGCCGGCCUUCAGAUGAAUCCGAUGGUCGCAGGCUCUAGCCGGGGGCAGCCCCUCAGGCUCAGUGAACACAUCCUGGUAAGCGUCCAGGAGCUGCUCCAGAAGGGCGUGUUCAGCCCCCUUGUCGGUGUAGAGGUUGGUCGAAGACAGGGCCACAGAUGGGGCAGUGCAGGGCGCACCCACUCCUGUCCACACCACCUGGCGGCCCCGGAGGGUGAACGCCAUCCGUAGCGUUGCGAAGUCCCAAAGUAUAGGCCCCAAAGCACGCAGCCACGUGAGGCCUAGGACCAUGUCGUAGGGAGCCAACGGGAUCGAGAAGCAGUCCACCGUGAAGCGUUCAUUGCCGAUAAGGAGCUGAACGCUGCGGGCGAGCCCCUGGCACGCGACGCGAUCACCGUUCGCGACGAUAACAUGGGCGCCAUUGCUGUCUGUGAACUGCAGGCCUGCGCGGCUAGCAGCAUCUGGGUUGAUGAAGUUGUGCGUCGACCCUGAGUCCAGAAGAGCCGUGAAGUCGUGGGCACCGAUCGUUACACGCAACUGCAUGGUGUCGCGCGCCCGAAUGCCUGUCACCGCGGACAGUGAGAUCAUCGGCUUCUCUGGGUCGAACGCUGGCUGCUCGGUUGGUGGGUCGUCGUCCGGCUCGUCGGGCUCCUCGACGAUAUAAUCAGGCACCUCCAGAUAGAAUAGGCAGGCGCAUUUGUGCCCUCGGACGAACUGCUCAUCGUAGUUGUAGCAGAGGCCGAGCUUGCGACGUUCAGCCAUCUCCUCCGGCGUGAGACGCUUGUAGGGGCGCGCAGCCGGCGUCGGAGGCGCCAGUGCAGAGGAGGGCGAGCCACUGGUCGGUGCCGGUGCCGACAAGGCUGCUGGUGGACGUCGCGCCGGGCGUUGGGGUCCUGGUAAGGUGGGCAGUAGGACUGCAUUGCGACGCUCGUAUGCCCGGGCCAGGCGCAUAGCAUGCUGGAGGUCCUGGGGAUCCUGGAGCUCGACGUCCACGCGGAUGUAGUCCGGCAGUCCACCCGUGAACAGCCGGGCACGCUGCAGCGAUGAGAGAUCGCCUGCGUGCGCGGCCCGUGCUUGGAACGCCUCCAUAUAUGCGUCGACGUUGGAUCCGAACGACAGCCGCGCCAAGUCCGCCAAGUGAUUAGUGCUGAUGGCGGGCCCGAAGCGCUGCUGGCAGUAGCGACGAAAGUCCGGCCACGAUGGCCGGCCGACGUCGGUUUCCAGGACGACGUACCACUGCUGGGCUACCCUUUUGAGGUGGUAUGACGCCAUCCAGACUUUGUCCACCUCGCGCGUGAGUUGUCCCCGGAAAAAUUGCUCACAUUUGUUGAGCCAACCCAGUGGAUCUUCCUUGCCGUCGUAUGUUUCGAAGGAGAUCUUGUGAUACUUGGGGACGGCGGCGGACUCCCAUGCCGGCUGAGAAGGCGCCAUGUGGGCAGAGGCCGGCAGUGGCAGACUCUGCGUAACCGAGCCAAACUGCGGGAUCGGCGACGAAGAGUGAGGGAAUUGGAUCUGUGUGAUUGGAACUCCCAUGGGUGGUGGCGCCGGUGCGGACUGCUGUCCCUGCGGAGCUGUGGAUGACUGCUGCAGUGCAGGGAACACCGACGCAGAUGAGUCCUCGGCAGCCGUCGUGACUUCCGUGAUCAGCGGCGCCGAGGUCGCCGGUAGUUGGGGAACACCCCCGAACCCCGGCAAGCCGAAUUGGGGGUACCCUUGCUGGGCGUCCAUGGCCGUCAGUCUAGCGCCCUGGGCAGACAACUGAUGGUUCAUGGCUGACACCUGCAGCUGCAUGCCAUUGAACGCGGAGGUGAGUCGAGCGAGCGAGUCGGCGAUGGAGGCAAGCGUGGGCGGCUGGGACGGCGGGGUGGUGGGGAGGAGAGCGCCGGUGGUGGCGGUCAGCGGAUGCGAAGCACCCGUGGCCGCGGACACGCUGGUCGACGGCGCGAGCGGCGCGGAGGCAUCCCCGGUCGUUGCCAUGGAGUCUGAUACCACGUUGUUACGGCGCUGGGCUUUGCUGCGGAGGUUGUAGGGAGGAGAGUGGAGAGGUUGAGGGCGUGAGCGUUGGCGGCGGCGGAGAGCCGUCGCUGGCAGAGCAGGAAGACGUACAGGGAAACAGGGAAGGGGUGCUGGGCGCCCAAGGGUGUCUUAGACACAAUCCCAGGCUGAGCCUGAUUCAUUAACUUGACUGGACUUUAUAGUCCUAUUACAAUCUAGGUAACAAACUCUGAUUCCUUUAUCAAACCUAGACUCUAACCCAAACUCUAUCAUAUCUUUCCAAAAUCUACCUAAUCUUAUCUAUCUCAAACUCUAACAAACUAUCCAAAUUCUAGCCCUAUGCGCUAGGACUCAGCCCCCUUGCUGACGCCUGCGCUGGUAGGUGUUGCCUACCAUAACACCUAGACAUGCAGCUCGUCCUUGAGCUGCAACCUAACCAACUUAUAAUGAUGACUCGACUCGACACAAACCUAACACUUAAAAACAAGCCUUUUACAUCUCGGUUUAUUUUAUUAUUCCCAACCUGAAAUGGACUGGAACGCUUUAUUUGUGACCCUACACGUAAGGUGGACACCAUCUGCACGCUGGACCUACACGUCUAUAGCCACCUAGAUCCCAUGGACACCAUUUGAACGAAAGGGCUGCAUGAGUUUGGCCCCCAGGAGGUGGUUGCCACAGCGACCAGCGAAGACGCCCUCGUGGUGGCCGGUAGUGGAACGUGGAAACGCUAGGCAGUGCGCUCCCUCCGGUGACCCCAUGCCUUCUCCCCGCUGCAUGGCUGCUGGUCUGCAUCACAGAAAGGAGAGUGGAGGGCUUUCGAUGGAGAACGACAAUGAGGGGAGUGCCUCUCCUACCGCCGCCGAAAGCUUUGAGUUAGUCACCUGCGUGGCAAACAGCAUGCCCACCACCCAUGGGGCCAACCACAGGCUCAAGAUCCCCGACGCAGCGGACAAGAUCAAGGUCCUCCGCGCAGUGAAGAGCAACUUGGAGGAGCUGCGAAGGGGUGCAGGGUUGAAUCAGCUGUAGAUCACGCAUCACCCGCACCUGAUGGCGCUGUGGCCGUGGGCUGAAAUGACUGGACCAGCCCCGCCACGGUGGCCUGCAUUGUCGCCAUGAAAAUCUGCAUCGCCGCCAUGUUGCGCGACAGCUCAGCAACCACUCCUGCAAGAGAGUCAAGCGUAAGCAGUUGGCCGGAAAACGCGGAGGAGAGCUCCAACGAAGUUGAAGGCGGUGGCGCAGCUGUGACGGCUGGGGCUACGGAGGAGGCUGGCGGCUGCGUGGAAGAUGGAAGGGGGCCUGACAUUGCCGAUACCAGAUGUUAUGUGGCGGCUAGGAUCGAGAGGGGUGAGAUGGGGAAGCAGCGACUGUUUGCAUGCUACAGUACCCGCGGGUACUGUUCACGCCGUAUGUUGUGGUGGCGGCUAGGGCUGCGAGGGUGAGAGGAGGCCGGCCGGGGGCCUUGCCCACGGCCGGGCAAGAGGGAAGGGUUUUCCUUCUUAAUUCUUGCUUGAUUAGAUUGAUACAUUUCCUCUCCCUAUAUAGAGAUGUUUACUUGACUUACAAGCAAGGCUUACUUGACCCCUAAGCAAGUGACCCUUAUCUCUAAUGAACCCUAACACUAAUGGGCUAUAGCACCAGCCUAGGCCCAAUAGGUCCCUUACGUACUCUAAUAGAACCACUUUGCCAUGUUCUUCAAUUAAGACAAUUUUACUUUUGUCCUUUUUUUUCUUUCUAAAGAUGUUGAGUAACUUUCUUUCAGCAUUGGAAUGGGAAGUGCAAGAAUCUUUCUAUGGUUUGGUUUCCUUUUGUUAUAGAAAGUAGAACUUUGCAAAGUCAAUAAGAUGCUAUUUCAUGAAUAAAAUAAUAUGGGAUUUUUUUUGUGCAGAUUAUUAUGAAUAAAUUACUGACUUCAUUGUAUUUUAGUCUAUAUUUGAAUUGAUAUCUUUGAUAAAAGUUAUCAAGGGUUGACUGGACAUAUUCUUGAUCUUGGUUGACAUUUUGUGUCUGGUGGGAGUACUUCUUAAUGGUAGGGUACUGACUUGAAGUUUUCUUAUUUUACAGACUACUCAAGUGAUCUCCGCUCUUAUCUCAAAUACUGCAAGGAAGUUAUCUUUACUGGGAUUACAUUUUCAGAUGAAGAGAAUCAUCUAAUAGAGAUAUUUUGGGAUAUGUACAAAGCCAGAGAGGUACUGCACUUUGAUUGGCAAUGCUGUUAAUUCUUACCUAUUUUCCUUUUGCAUGAGGUGGAUAAAAUAUCAUAUAUGAAACUGUUAAAUUGUGCCCAUUAUGGAUCAAUCGCUUUCCCUUAUCAUACCCUUGUGUAGUUCUUCCUGUCCUUGCUAUGUCAGUGUCAUGUGGGGCCAGACCUACACCAGACACCGGUGCACCCGCGAUGUGCAGCAUGCUGCCGAGCGUGCAGAACGCGCGGGGACGGCCCAGGACGCGCCAGCCGCCAGGGGCUAGGAGGAAUGAUAGGAUUAUUACCUAUUUUAAUGAUUAGUUACCUAUUUCUAUUCCAUAAUUCUAGGAGCAGCUUGCUCUAUUCGGUUGGGCCUUAGGCCAUAUAUACUUGUAACCAGACAUUUGGAUAAUUAAGAAAGAUAUUGCCAUCUAAUCUCUCUCUCCCUUCUACAACCGAAGCUAGGAGCCGAGGGGCAAAACCUCGCCCUAUGCCACGGAUCAAGGCUACGAGCUUUGUAGCUGCGGUCCAGCUAUCCGAGGGUUUGAGGCCCUUGAUAGUAACUAUGUAAACUUUAAAUGACUUGAUAAGAAGGUGUAGCACAUCAGCUAAAUUUUACAGUAAACUAUCUAUAGAGUACAAAUUUAAUCCCCAUAUAUUUGAAAAAGGGGGAAAAUAACCAGAGAGGAAUGAGGUGGGGACUUCUAUUUGCAGAACUUUUGCGGCACUUGGUUAUAAGGACAAAUUGAGUUAGACCUUGAACCUUGAAAUUUUGUUUGGUGUAGGAUCCUGGUUAGAUUUUAUUAUGAUAGCACCAUUCUUGUUGGCUUGCACAAACUUUGUUUUUGAACUGUAAAUUAUUUUGAUGCUUAUGGUGUUUCAUUGCAGGAUGAUAAUCCAAAAGAUCAUGUAAAAUCCCAGUCUCAUUCUAUUGAAGACAUUCCAAUUACAAAUGGAGUGAAGAAGCGCUACCGAGAUGGAGCUUUUGUUGAAGCAAGUUCCUUUUCUGCAUCUUCAGGUCAUGAUGCAAUGCAAAUGCUCAGGUCAGAGAUGCAAGAUCAUGGAUUUCAUUAUAUGCCACCUAGGAAACCAAGGAAAUCAGAUGGUUAUCUUCGUUAUAGGAGGAAGCGGCUAAGCAGUGGCUUUAUUUAUGUUGCACAUGCUGAUUAUUACAUGUUGCUACGUGCUUUUGCAAAGCUUGCAGAAAUUGAUAUUCGUAUCAUGCAUAUUAGUGUGUUAAAAGUUGAGAGGAGACUCGCAUGUAUUGAGGAGCGAAUUGAGAGAAGCUUGAACACCUUACAGAACUUUUCUACUGGAACAGGAGAUGAGCUAAGAUCUGUAUCUGACUGAAGUUCCUAGUGUAGUCUCAUACUCUGCUGUACUGCUGUUUUGGCAUCUUGAGAAACAUAAUUACCCUUGAGCAUUAUGCCUCCCAGUAUUGCUGUUUUUACGUAUACAAGCAUUUAGUUUCAUGCACUUUCUCAGUCCAGGAAUACAAUGUGAUUUUUUAGUAUUAUCUGAAUGUGUUUGUGUACUGAUGGCACGCAAAGGAAUACCCCCUCCAUUCUUUUUCUGGAAAAAAGGGUCACGUGUGUAACUGUGGUUCCAAAGGGCUUCUUUCUGUGGCCUCUUGGCAUUGGUAAGCAACCUGAGCACAACAAGGUCAGGGCAGGAUGUGGGUCUUUAUUUGCUGAAGCAAUAUGUACCGAGAAUUAUGCUCCCUUCUUUAGAAUGGACAUAAUUAUGUCAGGGUCCUAAUCAGUACCGUGGUGGAUUCAGUUCCAGUAGUAGACCUCAUCACUGCUCGGCAAGUCAGCAUCGAUGAUACUUGGGGAUCUGCAAUCAUGAGGCAUUUCAGUUUGGGAACUGUAGUGGCAAGAGGAAAAAAGGCUGGAAUCUGGGCUUUCAAAAAAAAGAGGGGGGGGGGGGGGGGGGGGUGUUCAGGAAUCUGGAACGCUGGUUGGGUGGAAACGGCAAGGAAAAUGGGUGAAACUAACAAAGAAAUUUGACAAACCUUUUAUGUUCCCUAGUUAUGAUGCAAAAUCAAAUUUGAAGUCCAUGGUGUAACAAUUUUCUGAAUCAUUAGACAAUAAUGGUUCAAUUGCACAAUUAGGGAUGAAAACGGUACGGAUAUUUUCCGAUCGUAUUCGAGACCGAAUUCGUUUAGAGGGGUUCAAAUCUGUCCGUAUCCGAGUCCGAAUAUUCAACAUCCGAUGCCGUAUCCGUAUCCGAAUACUUAAAUCGUAUAUUUAUGAUGUCGACAUCCAAUCGUAUCUUAUCCGACGUGGUUGAUAUUAUCCGUAUUCGAAUCCGAAUCCGACUAGAAAUAUAAAAACAAAUAUGAUAUCGGUGAUAUCCGUCCGUAUCCGAUCCGUUUUCAUCCCUAUGCACAAUGAUGAUUUUGGCUCUAAAACUAAACUUGAGUUGACCGGAAAACAUCACAUUGCACUGAACGCUAAUCUUACUAUUACACUUCUGCAUCUUGGGAAACAGAAACACAAAUAUUGUCCUUGAUGGAUUGCAGAAGUAGAUGACUUUUUCUGUCCUAUAUAGUGAUGGUUCUCCCAUUGGGUGUUUUUUUACCUACCGACCUGCUAUCUGAUGUUUUCAUUUUUGCUUCCAUUUAUGAUGUUGUCAGGGUUAGUAUAAUUGGUACUGUCAAAGCUGCUGACAGAACUAAAAAAAAAUCUUGCUGUGUUUGUGGAGUUUGAUGCGGGCAAGCAGCUCGAGGAACUAGAUAUAAGGGACAGCAGGUCGGAUCAGUUGUGGCUUUAGUAAAUAACCGCCUAUGAUAAAUUGCAUAUUGUGUAAAAUGAUACCCGCAUCUGUAACUACGAAUUAAAUUUUAAAUUUGUACCCUCACAUGUUGGGUACAAUACCUGUGGUACCUUCAUUAAACUUGUACCCUCACAUGUUGGGUACAAUACCCGUGGUACCUUCACUUGCGAGGUGAAGCGACAUACCUGCAUCUUUAUCCAUGGGUAGAAUCUUAUACCGUGCCCACACCCAAGGUAGAAUUGCAGAUGCCUUCUCAUCUGUAUUUGCUUGCUGCUGACUGAAGUGUAUGCAGCUUUCAAUGAAAUCACCUUGAUGUACCUUCCAACACUUGUAUAAUUGAGCAUGGUGAUUGGGUCUAGAUCUGGUGUGUGAGCUAGGCUGCUGCAGCCUUGUUUUGUUCCAACUAGACAUUGAACAGAGCUGUGGAGUACUUGAGAUAUAGGGCCAACUAGAGCUUACUGUUUUAUAUGUGACAAGAAAUUGGUCGUACUAGAGAUGUAGGCUUCAAUGAUUAAUUAAUAUUUGUAUGUUUGUGUAGCAGGUUAUUGCACCUUGAAUAUCAGUUUGGGUGGGUUAGUGUUGUUAAAGUAGGAAAUAUAAAUGCGAUAAUAGAAAGGAAGAACUUGUAUUUAGCAUUAAUUUAAGGACUGAAUAAUAUAAGGUGAAGUGGUGCGGUAAAAGGGUGUCUAGUUAUAAAAGGACAAGACAACCAUUCCCACUAGGACAUCUACCUCUGUGGUGGCCAUAUUAAACUAAUGCCUACUCUAAUCUUGAUAAGAUCACUCCUCUGUUAUUUGGGGAUGCAACUUGAAGAUGUGUGAAAUCAAUUAUCCCCGCUUGAUCUAAUCUUCCUGUGAAAUCAAUGCAGCUGAAAUUGUAUAGCUGAGAUUCCUUGAUAAAAAAAACUAUGGAAAAAAUCUAAAGAAUAUACCGAUGUAACAUUUGAACUCCUAGAUCCAGUGGGAAAAUAAGAAAUAGUAUGGGCCUGGCUAUAGAAUAGUGUGUGUAUAUAUAUAUAUACACACACUAUGGGUCAAGAUAUAAUUAUUUAUAGGCAAAUUAAAAAUGAUAAUACAAGUAAUAAAAAUAGCUUGAUCGGAGAUCAGACGCACAUGUCCAAACAGAAUUAUUUACAGGCCCCAUUAAUAUUAUUAGUAAUAAAAAUUAUCUCAUCCAGAUAUUGGACGCCCCUGACAAAUUUACUAACUCACACGUCAUGGUGAAAUUAUUUAUAGGUUCAAUUGAUGUUAUUAUAAAUAAAAAUUACCUCAUUGUGAUACUGGGCACCGCGUUGAUUAUCUCAAGCAAAUUUAUUGUCACUGACAUUUAGUAAUAAAAGAUUUAUCUCAUUGGGGGCAGUGGUAAUAAAAUUUAGCCUGCCCUGAGACCGGAUGUCUAGGUGACUAGACAAUCAUUUUGACCGCUCACAUGUUAGGAUGAAAUUUUUUACUAAACAAAUUUAUACUAUUAAUAAUAAUAAAUAUUCUGACCGGAGGCUAGACAACCCGUUGAUUAUCAUACGCAAAAUUGACAACUCAUAGAGCAGACAAAAAUAUUUACUUAACAAAAUGAUACUAUUAGUAUUUAAAAAAUAUUCUAACCCGAGAACUUACAACCCAUUCAUUAUCACAUAAAUUUACUGCUUAUAGGCCAAGAUAAAAUUAUUUAUUUAACAAAAUGGUACUACUAAUAAUAAAAAAUUCUAACAGAUACAGGACAAACCUACAUAUUGUUUCAUGUCUUCAUGACUUUUUGCUUUUAAUAAUAAGGCUGUAGCAUAAAAAUAUUAAGAAAAUUCUUACUUGCAUAUUGCUUCUUGGCUUUUCAUUUCACUUUUAUAAUAGAAGGCUAUAACCUAAAAGUAUUUAGGAUAAAAAUAUUGAAAAAUGGCGUGUGAAACAAGAGACACCGAACGAAGACGGAAGCCAACGUUCCUUGAUUCCUUCUCUCUUCACCCUCGUCCCACUCCACCUAACAAUUAGGCGAAGUUUUAGCGCCAGCUAAGCGGCUGCGGAUGGGAGGAUCCUGAGAGCACCCUGGAAAUCCAAAACCCUCUCGCCGCCGCAGCGGGAGUCCUAGCUUUGGACGACGGCGGCCGUUGCAGUUGCAGAUGGCCACCACGCCCGCGUACAAGCUUCGUAUCCUUUGAAUUUCCGGUUUAGGGAUUUUGAAUUGGAACUUGAAGUCGGAUUGCUCUUGCCUGCUGUGUCUGGACUGGUGCAGUUAAGUUGUGGUUGGGUUGGGGGUUGGAUUCACCCGUGAUGAUCGAAUUCGAUUCCAGGUUCUGAUAUUACUGUUCAUGUUGGCUUCAUCCUUUGCCAUCUGGUCUUGUGAGACUGUGAUUGAGUGGAGCAGUGCAGGAGUUGCGUUCCCACCAAAGAACGUAUUCAGGACCAUCCGAGUUGUCUUGCUAGGUGGGGAUGGAAUGAAAUUUUAGUGCUGCAAAGUUCCAGACCUGGAACAUUACAGCUUCCUGCCUGAAAUCAAACUAAAUUUGGUGGUCUGGAUUAAAUUUUGUUUACCAGGAAUUUUGACUUACGUGCUCUGUAGCUUAUCAUUUGUUUGGUAGGGCUGUAUCAAUUGCUGUUAAUGGGGCCACACUGUAGUAGGGGAAAUCUAUACAGGAUUCUCAAUGCUCAAUGUUAAUUCUUUCGACUGAGAACUUCAACUUCAUACUAAGUAGUUCUUUCCAUCCAGAAUGUAGUUGCUACUAUAUCAUGGAUAGUGCAGCUGCUGGUAUGAACUUAGUGCUAUGCCGAAAAUUGGUAUCAUUUCGAUAAUUGCAAUGAUGAACAGGCAUGCUGAUCAUAUGAGCAGUUGAGUAUUCUACUCUGAAUUUUCAGUCAAUAUUUUUUCCUUGUAGAAAUGUGUGUUUAGAUCCUUCUGGAAAAAAUAAAUUAUGAAAGAAACUAUAGAUAUGCUGGGAUAGGUUCGUGGUAGUUGAAAACAUUAUGUUAUAUAUUUGGAUAUCAUGCUGGGAUAAGACUUCAAUUAUGUUUUUUUUUUUGAGGGAACUAGAAGAGCCAUAGCCCCUACAGAGAUUUUAUUUAAUUUAAAAAGGGAGUUUUCAGGUACAAAAGAAAAAUUACAGGCGGCAGAGACAGCCACUUAGGGAACAAAAAACGAACUUCAAUUCUGUUGUUGUAUUAUGCAACCUUCAAUAUGUCUUGUUUCCUUGACAAUGAUCAGAGGAGUUUGUCGCGCAUGCUUCAAAUGUUAAUUGUGCCAAGUUUGGGAGGCGAACAUCAAGGAUCCUCAUCACUGGUGGGGAGGAUCUGAAGGUCAAUCUUUGGGCUGUGGGGAAACCCAGUGCCCUCCUGGUAAUUUCCUAUAGGUUAUCCUGCUGAUUUACUUGUAAUGUCAUUCUUGCUUUUUUUCUUCCUUUUUUUUUUGCCAAUCAGUUAUCUACUUCAACUCAUUUUCAUUGUACAUUGCAGAGUCUAUCAGGUUUUACAAGUCCAGUUGAGUCAGUAAGCUUUGACUCUUCUGAAGUUACGAUAGGUGCUGGUGCAGCAAGUGGAACGAUAAAAAUAUGGAAUAUUGAGGAGGGGAAAGGUAUUAACAAGUGUUGACACUCAACAGUGCAUUGAAAACAUGAACUGCAACUGUAUCAUGCAAUAAUCUUAGUUUCUAUUGACGAUUUGCACAAUGUGCAGUUGUUCGAACUUUCACUGGGCACAGAUCAAAUUGUGCAUCUCUUGAUUUCCAUCCUUUUGGAGAAUUCUUAGCCUCUGGGUCUUCAGACACAAACAUGAAAAUAUGGGAUACUCGAAAGAAGAGAUGCAUCCACACAUAUAAGGGUCAUACCCGACGAAUUAAUGUGCUUAAAUUUACUCCUGAUGGUCGAUGGAUUGUAUCUGGUGGGGCUGAUAACUCAGUGAAGGUAAAAUUUUGAGCAUGUCCGUUAAUUAGUGCAAAAUAUUCAAAGACCAUAGCACCCAAAAUUUAAGGUGUCUUACAAAUUACAACAUGGAUGUUAUCAACGAGAUGGACAAUCUCGUUCUAUCAUUAAUUAAAACUUUACAUCAUAUUUCCUGAUCACUGAAAUUUUGUUUAAAAUAUCUUGCUAGGUCUGGGAUUUGACGGCUGGAAAACUCAUGCAUGACUUCCGUCUUCAUGAAGGUCCAGUCAACUGCUUAGAUGUUCACCCCCACGAGUUUUUAUUGGCUACAGGUUAGAUUACAGGUUCUAUAUACUCACACGGUAGUGAAUUUUUCCUCAUGUCAAAUUUUCUAAAAUAAGAUUUCUAUUAUUUUUUGCGGACUUAUUAGUCCCUGUUCCUCAUGCUUUUUAAUUGUACAUCACCUGGAGAUCUAAGUAACAUAUUCCAUGUCCUUUUCAAAAACCUUUGCAGGUUCAGUUGAUAAGACUCUUAAAUUUUGGGACCUUGAGACUUUUGAGUUGAUUGGUUCUUCUGGACCUGAGGUACCAUAUCUAUUAUAACGACUCACAAAAUGAAUCAUUCAUGUCCUAAGUUGAAACUAUUCUAUGCUCAAAAUCUGAAUCAAUGUAGCUCUUGAACCCAAGGUUAAUUAGUGAUCUGGAAAAAUCUAUUUUUCGAGAAGGCUACAGUUUUAAAAAAUUGUAUUUAAGCAUUAGAUGAUUUGAUCAUAUGCUUGAAUUAAUUGAAAUAUAUUCAAACUAAGAUCCACCAUUAUGAGUUUUUUUUUCAAAAAAAAAGAUUUUUCCAACCUUAGUCUGUUUGCCACUCUGCCCAAGUAUGAUCCGUCGCAAGGAUUCAAGAAACAUAUAAAGGCAGUAUGAAGUACCAGUUUUUAUUUAUCUAUGUUGUCAUGAAAUAGUACCAAUGACCAAACGAAAUUUACCAAUAUAAUUCAGCAUCUCAGACCAAAGAUUGCACCAUAUGAAAAACUUUCUUAGUGAAAUAGCUAUUAUUAAGCAUGUGUAACAUAAUACUUUGUGAAACAACUUGUCAAGUUUGAGGUUUUGUAAACUAGGAGUAUUGGUAUACAGUUUUUUUUGACUCUUCUAUAGACUGUUGGUACUCUAAAAAUAGGUAUAUUUGCAUGCACUUUUUUUUACUCUUCUUUAGAUUGUUGCAAACUAGAUAGUGGCACAUAUAUCUGCUGUAUUUCAAUUUGAUGAAGAAGAAUCUAAUGUUACUGUCCAUUCUCUACCUUGUUUUUCUUUUUCUUGGAUAUAAUUAAACUUUUCUUCCUUAAUGCAGAACAGCCGGGAAUACUUUGAGCCGGUAUGGUUUUUGAUCACCAAUUUCUUCACAUCAUCCUAUGCCUGGAAUUUCUGUGUGGAAAUGGAUGACAGGCUUGCUUAAAUAAAGCACAUGAUCUGUAUCAGAUAACCAAUUGCCUAAUGGUAACUGUCCUCAAUUUUCAGGCUAGCGUAAUUCGUUCUAUGAAAUUCAAUAGUGAUGGUAAAACAAUUUUUUGUGGAUUACAUGAAAGCUUAAAGGUAUAUAUCCAACUGAUUUAUCAAGAUCCUCAUUUCAUUCUCCAGGAAAUAAUAGUGGAACAAAGGUCAUUAUCUUUUUGCUUGUAGGUUCUUUCCUGGGAACCCAUCAUAUGUCAUGAUGUGGUUGAUGUAGGCUGGUCCACAUUAGCAGAUCUAACUGUAGACGAACAGAAACUUCUUGGUUGCUCAUAUAACCAAAAUUGUGUCAGUGUGUGGGUUGUGGAUUUGAUGGUAUGACGUGUUAUGCAUAAUUUAAUAUGUUCAGUUGAGUUAUUUCUUUAUGACAUGGUACAUACAUAAAUUUUCAGAGAAAUGAGCCUUAUGUUGAUAGUAAUUCUGGACCACGCUUAAAUGGAAGUGUAAAUAGGCUAGUCGAAUCAGAUGAUAGCAUGUCAUCAGUGUUUGGAAGGCUAUCAGUUUCCAGAAGCCCAGGUACUGACAGCAGCAAACACUUUUCUUAUGAGAUCUCUUCGUUAUCUCUGCACUCUAAAACCAGAUAUGUUUUUGUACUUUUUGAAACAGCCAAUGAAAUUGGAUUGGGUACUCUGCUUGGACGCUCAAUGUCUGCUUCAAAAGAAAUUCCUGUCUCAACUUCUGCAUCAACGAAGGGGUUGUCAAAGCCACCUGGAAAAAGGGAUCUCCAGCUCACAAGAUCUGUUUCUACACCUCUUCUUUCUCCUAGAGUUAGAUUGAACCCAAAUUUCAUUGACAGACGGAAGAAUCAGCCAGCUGCUGCUGUACCAUUACCAGAACCAAUAGUCCGCUUUAAAGCGAAUCUCUCUUCAGAUGCUGGAAUGUUGUCUCGCAGUUCACAUGCAUCAGAAGCUCCCAUGUAUAGGUCAAGAUCUAAUAGUUCUCGGUAUGGUAUUAUGGAAUCAUCGUCUUUACCUGUUCUGACCCUGAGGCAUAGCCCUAGAAAGGAUGCUGGUCCCGUUCUCAGUGAAGCAGCCACAGUUGACUUAGCAGAUAUUGAGCCUCAAAAUAUAGAAAAAGUAGGUUUAGCUGCCAACCAUGGCAAAGAAGAUGGCAAGUUGGUACCUGUAAUUGUUUCAAGGAGCUCAAAGAUGGUUGAAGAAGUUGGCUGUAGAAGAAUCACUAAUGAUGUAGGAUAUAAAAAGGUAACCCUAGAAAAUAGUUUGAGAGUUAAUUCAGAUAUUGACUAUAGAAGGAGAGCUCCGGAAAGCCAAGAGGUGCAGCAGCUUAUACCUCUGUCAGAACCUAUUAGUUCAUCACAGAGGAAAUUUAUAAGAGAAUCUUCGGGUGCUGGGGACAAUAACUGUUCUGGUUUGAUGUGCACUGAAAGUGUUGAGUCUAAUGAAGUUGGUAGCUGGUACAGUGUAACUAGUUUUGAUAAAUGGAAUCCUGCUGCCGCAAGGAAUCCAGAAUUUGCCAGCAUCCACAGAAAUGAAGUGGUUGGAAUAAGCCAACUGAUGGAGUCAAGUGGAGAGCAUGCUGUUGACGACCGUAAGUGAUCUAUUGACCUGACAUUGUUCUAUCGGUUUCAGUCUCCUUCAGAAUUAUCACCAAGCUCUUUGGUUGGAACAGGACCUUCCUCUUCUAAUUUUGAUAGCAUCCAGUAUGUGACAACACCAUACAACUCAGUAUGUUUACUUCCAAGGUUGUGUCAUUUUGGGGCCAAUAGUAUUUUUUUUUAUAUGAAACCCAUUAUGCACCUCGUAUUUUCUGUUUUCUGUAGAGGCUACGCCCUUCACUUUCUGGAAAACUUAGUGCAUCUGCAAGUGAUGAAGAUGAUAUGUCUGGUCUAAUGGAAAACCAUCAAGAAUUCAUUCAUGUAAUGAAGUCUCGGCUAACCAAACUAGAGGUAUCAAGGGGUCCAGAAUAAGAUCCUCCAUCGAGUAAUUAAGAAUCCAUUUGCUGCUGUGGGACACAAUUUGUUAUAUGUAUUGAGUAAUUGUAGUCACUAUGUGACAUUUGCAGGUGGUUUACCGGUGCUGGCAAAGAAAUGAUAUAAAAGGAUCUAUUGAUGCUACAUGGAGAAUGUUGGAUUUUGCUGUAUGUACUCUACUACUCUGUUGUAGUUUCACCCAUUACAUUUUCUGAAUGUUCUCUACUCUUGUAGGUCACUACUGAUAUAGUUAAUGCUCUAAUGGAGAAUAGGAACUGUAUCACAUUAGAUGUUUGCGCUUCUGUCUUACGUCUUACUGCCAAUCUUCUUGAAAGCACAUAUGACAGGUCAUUUCUCAUAUUUCCUCUUAAUUUAUCAAUAUUAGAAUUGUGAGACCAUUUAAAUUUGACCUUGCUAUUGAACAUUGGCUGAUUUUAUUUUGAUUAAAAGCUGACCAAAUGCUCUUUGGAGAGCUGGACCUUGUAAUGGGAAGUAAAUCUGAUUAUAAUGUGUCCCUUCCUCAAAAAGAGAUGGAACUCUGAAUAUGCAGAUAUUAUAUACUGUUCAUGUACGGCCAAAAUUCAAAUUGUAUCCCUAGCUGGCCAUUGUAUUCAAGGCAUGACAUGUGCAGAUUUAGUAUGCAGAUAUGACAUGCUGUUCAUGGUUCAGGCUAUAGUCUAAUUUUAGCACUAGCUGACCAUUCUAUACAAGGAAUCGAGGCUAUGACACAUGCAGAGUUCUACAUCACUAAAACUACAUUUGCACGACUGUACUUUUAUAAUUCAUGGGAGUCAUGGAUUCCACAGUUCCAUGGAUAUGGAUCGCAAUCAAACAGUUUAGCGACCAUGUCCAUGUACCAAUGUCCUGCUGUACCAUUCCCAAAAAGGAAAGUGCCAAUGGUAACACUAACACUAGUAGCCUCAUUAAUUAGAAGCUUUUUGAUUGUGCAAUCUUUAACUACCCCUUCGACUGUUUUAAGUUCGUUUUCACAGUUUGUAUAUGGUGCUACUAGUAUGAAAAAUGACCGACAGUGUACAUUGCAACAGUAACUGUUUUGUCAAAAGUGAGAGGCUGUAGGUGAUCGAUGUGCAUUGACACUUUUCAACGCAGGCAUAUGAGCAUUGCCUUGGGGAUGAUUCUCAGUCUUGUCAAGAGCUUUGGUUCCACCAUUUCUUCAGCUUUGUCGGCUACACCACCUGUUGGGGUAGACCUUGAGGCAGAGCAGAGGUGUUUUCUUCUUUUCAUCUCAUUGAAAAUUGUAAUGGAUUCUCCUUCCUGCCUCAUACUUCACAAGCGCAUAUCUUGCUAGGUUGGAGCGGUGCAAUCUAUGUUUCCAAGAACUGAAGAAUGUGAGCACCAGCCUCAAGUUUCUGACAAGGUUAGCUUAAAUGGCUCUAGCCUCUUAAGUAUCCCAUGAAACCUCAAAACAUUGUUCAGUUCAAUGAACUAAACUAAUUGAUGUCUCUGGGCAUUUCCUUUGCAGGCGGCAAGGCGAGGUUGGGAGAUCAGCUCAGGAGCUCAACCUUUUUCUUCAGGAUAUCUUUCAAUUGUCAUCAAGCGUGUAAACAGUGACCAUAGCACAACCUGUAAAAUAUUCACGCACUCCAUUUCCUUUGGUCAUAACAGAUAUAGCAACAUGGGAUUUACAGCUAGAAAGAAAGAAAUAUAUAGAAAUAGAAAUUACAUACAUGUGUAGAAAAUCAAGGGUCAAUUAAAUACUAUAUAGAGUGGCUUACAGGGAUUUUUUUUCUCCAUUUUUAAGGUAUAUAGAGAAUUCAGAGGUUCUAUGUUUUUGCCAUUGCGUGUGCACGCCCUUUGUUUGCGCCUGUGCUUGGGCACCUAAUGACAAAUGUACAUAAGCAGCAUUUCUUUUAACUUUUAUAUUGGCAAUUUAUUACUGUCAUUUCCAGUUUUUCACCCCAUUUCCUUUUGAUGAUUAGCUGAGAAAUUGUGCUCUACUAUCAACAAUGCGAUCCACGUGCAGUUUUUCUUUCCUUUUUGUUAAGAGUGAUUGUAAAUGAACUGUGUAUAUACAAGUGAGGGGGUGUCUCCAAAAGACAUGACAGUUCAUGAAAGGACAGGCCCUUUCAUGAUAUGAUUAACUGCUUAUGCUAACUGCUCUAUCUAAUGGAUGAGAUCAUCUCUGGAAUGGUGUCCGUUGGAAGCGACAGUUGGCAUAUGCCCCUUCGGUGGGCAAGUGCCCGUUCGGUGAAAGACACCGGUUCACAACACUCCCCCUUGAUCCAAUCUUCGUUUAUAGAUCAAUGCAGCUAUCAGUUGAGAUUCCUCGAAAAACCCUGUGGGAAAAAUCUGAGAAAUAUAUAGAUUGAUAUGCUAUAAAACUCCUUCAAACCUUUUAGUAAAAUAAGGAGAAACUAGCAUAUAUUUGGAUGAUUUAAAUAAAUCAUGAUGUCAUUGGUAUCCCAAUUAGAAACCCCAGUGGGGAAAAAUAUUGGGGAUACGACAUUGAGAUAACUCCCCUAAAAACCAUUUAGGAAAAUUUUGGGGAGUAAUAUAGUGAUAUGUCGCUAAAACUCCUAUAAAACCCGGUGGGAAAACUAGGAGAAAAUGUGAUGACAUAUAGUUGAAAUUGCCUCUAGAAUAACUUCACAUGAAAAACCUUUUUAGGGAAAAACCAUGGAUAAGUUGUGAGGGCAAUACGUGCCUUUGAUAUUUUCUAAAAAAACCCCAAUGGGGAAAAUAGAAAAUAUGACACAUGCUUAUAUUAAUAUUACCUCAUUAAAAACUUUCACAAGAAACCUUGAGAGUAAAACUUGUGGAAGAAAAGAGUGUAAUAUGAUGCUGGAACAGGUGAGCAUCUAGGAGAUGUCUCCCCCCUGAUUCUUGCAAAUUUCGAAGUCGCCGCAUACCAAUGUCAUGUACAAACUUUUGGAACAUGGAUGUUGGUAAGGACUUAGUAAAUAGGUCAGCGAGGUUAUCGCAUGACUUGAUUUGCAAGAUGUUUAUCUCCCCACUUUCUUGUAGUUCAUGAGGAUAAAACAACUUAGGAAUAAUGUGCUUAGUCACAUUACUCUUUAUGUAACCUGUUUGCAUCUGUGUAACACAAGCGGAAUUAUCUUCAUAGAUAAUUGUAGGUGAUUCCAUAGAACCAAUACCACAUGACUGUUGUAUGUGGUUAAUCACUCUGCGAAGCCAUACACAUUCACGUGAUGCCUCAUAUAGUGCAAUUAUUUCAGAGUGAUUUGUGGAGGUCGUUGUUAGGGUCUGUUUAGAAGACUUCCAUGAGAUAGCAGUGCCUCCAUGCAGGAAUAUAAAUCAUGUUUGGGAUUUGCCUUUAUGGGGAUCAGAUAAGUAACCAGCAUCAGUGUAUCCUAUCAAUUCGGGAUCAUGAUUUUUCUUAUAGAAUAAACCAAGAUCCUUUGUGCCAUUAAGAUAUCUGAGGAUAUGCUUAGCUCCCGUCCAAUGACGUGAAGUUGGAUUUGCACUAUGUCUAGCUAGUAAGUUCACUGCAAAUGCUAUAUCAGGCCUGGUGCAAUUUGCAAGAUACAUAAGUGCUCCAAUGACACUAAGAUAUGGAACCUCGGGUCCCAGUAUCUCUUCAUCAACAUCUCGUGGUCUAAAUGGAUCUUUCUCCAUUUCUAGAGAACGAACAACCAUCGGUGUUUUUGAAGGAUAGGAUUUAUCCAUAUUGAAUUUCUCCAAUAUUUUCUGGAUAUAUGCUGAUUGAUGCACUAAAAUUCCUGAGGGAAGGUGCUCCAGCUGUAAGCCUAAGCAAUAUUUGGUUUUACCCAAAUCCUUCAUUUCGAAUUCUGUCUUUAGGUGAUUGCGUGCUUCUUCUAUAUCCUUUGGGUUGCCAAUGAUAUUUAAAUCAUCAACAUACACGAAUAUAAUACAGAAUCUCGUUGGGGACUUCUUAAUGAAAACACAUGGGCAAUCAUCGUUGUUUGUGUAUCCCUUCUUUAGAAGGAACACACUCAGUCGGUUGUACCACAUUCGUCCUGACUGCUUUAAGCCAUAUAAUGACUUUUGAAGCUUUACACAAUACAUGUUGCGAUUUGCGGUUGCAUUCGGAAUUUGGAUUCCAUCAGGAACCUUCAUGUAUAUGUCCGAAUCAAGUGGCCCAUAAAGAUAUGCAGUCACUACAUUCAUCAACUGCAUAGAUAGAUGAUUUUGAACUGCCAAUGAUAUUAAGUAUCGGAAAGUAAUUCCACUCAUUACUGGAGAAUAUGUUUCAUUGUAAUCAAUGUCGGGUCUCUGCGUGAACCCUUGUGCUACGAGCCUUGCUUUAUAUCUCACCACCUCGUUGUUCUCAUUCCGUUUCCGGACGAAAACCCAUUUAAAUCCCAAAGGGAAGAUUUUAGGAGGUGUAGCUAUUGUAGAAGUGAAUACCCCUCUUUUAGUGAGCGAGGUUAUCUUAGCUUGAAUUGCAUCUUUCCACUGGGUCCAGUCCGAGCGCUUUUUGCACUCUGCCAUGGUCUUGGGAUCUGGAUCAUUUAGGAAGAUUUCUGCAAUUGCUGCGGAGAAGUACAUGUCGACAAUCAUAGUCUUACGAUCAUAUGAUUCUCCAGAAUCAAUGUAAUUGAUGGAAAUUUCUUUCACCCCAUUUUGUGACUCAACAUUUCCCAAAACUAUGGAGUCAGGGUGUUCCGAUGUCCUAGGAUCAGUAUUUGGGUGCACCGUUGAUCCGGGUUGUGGAUUAGGUUGUGGUGUUGGACUUUCAUCCACUAUUGGGUGUCUACCAACUUGAGGUUGGCUUGGAUUUACUGAUUUGGAGGAUCUAGUCCUCGGUAUCCUCGGACGCUUGCUUUGAGCAUUAUCCUUCGGUGCGGCCGUACUUCUCCCCCUUUUCUUUAGAAGUGGGGGUUGAAUGGUUUUUAUUGGUACCUCCACUCUUUCAGGUGCAUUUCGUGCAGGAUAAGAGGAUUUAGUGACACCCUUAUAAUCAGUAAAUGCUUCAGGCAGAUUAUUUGCAAUGUGUUGCAAGUUUAUGAUUUUCUGAACUUGUUGUUUAGUCUCUUGAGUACGUGGAUCUGAGGGGGAAGUGCUUUGGGCAUUCCAAUUGAUUUCCUGGUAUUCACUAUGGUACUUGUAAUCUCCCCCUAAUGCCGGGAAAUGGUUCUCAUUGAAUAUGCAAUCAGCGUACCGGGCCGUGAAUAGGUCCCCUGUAAGGGGCUCGAGGUAUUUUAGAAUCGACAGAGAUAGAUACCCCACCUAGAUCCCAAGUUUCCUGUGUGGGCCCAUAGCGGUACGCUUAGGUAGUGAGAUCGGUACAUAUACAGCGCAACCGAAUUUUCGCAGAUGGGAAAUAUUAGGCAUAUUGCCACAUACUAAUUGCAUAGGGGAGACAUCGUGAUAUGCAGUUGGUCGCAAUUGAAUUAAGUCAGCAGCGUGUAAGACUGCAUGACCCCAACACGAAGUCAGUAGGUUGCAAUUUUGUAGUAAGGGUCUUGCAAUGAGUUUAAUUCUCUUAAUAAGAGAUUCUGCUAGACCAUUUUGUGUAUGGACAUAAGGGACAGAGUGCUGAACUUGAAUACCUGAAGCCAUACAAUAAUCAUUGAAAGCCUUUGAGGAAAAUUCAGCAGCAUUGUCCAUUCGAAUAGAUCGAAUUUGAUGUUCAGGGUGAUUUGCUCUAAGUUUGAUAACUUGAGCAAUAAUCUUAGCAAAAGCAUGGUUACGUGUGGACAAAAGGCACACAUGAGACCAUCUAGUAGAUGCAUCUAUAAGAACCAUGAAAUACCUGAACGGUCCAGACAAUGGUUGAAUGGGGCCACAUAUGUUGCCUUGAAUGCGAUCAAGGAACUUGAGUGGCUCAUUUUGGAUCUUAACAGGCGAUGGCCGUAUGAUCAAUUUCCCUAUAGCGCAUGAAGUGCACAUAAAAUCUGAAGAUUUCGGGAAUUUAGCAGUAUUCAAAGCAUGACCAUUAGAAUUGCUGAUAAUUUUUCGCAUCAUCCCUAUACCGGGAUGACCAAGGCAAUCAUGCCAAGUUUUGAAUGCAUCGACAUUCUGAAAAAUUACCUUGUACGCAACAUGUGGUAUGGGUUUGAUGUAUGUGUAGUACAAUCCUGAAGGAAAAGAGGGAAUUGUCUCAACAAUUUCUUUGCCAUAUCCGCUAUCUUUAGUAACAAGGAGAAUCUCCUCGUUAUUGUCAUCACGGGUUUCAAUAUGGAAACCAUUUUGACGGAUAUCUCUAUAACUUAGUAGGGUACGCUUUGAAUCGGGAUACAAUAGAGCAUCCUCAAUUGUGAUUUGGGUACCCAUAGGGAGUACGAUAGUGGCACGACCAGAACCAAUAAUCGUAGCAUCGCGCUCAGCGAUUGUCAAAACAUUUCCUUGUCUCUUAGUAAGAGUUUGGAAAUAUUUUGUUUCCCUAAUAAUAGAAUUAGUGGUACCGCUGUCCACUAGGCAUAGUUCCUCCUCCAUGGGAUUGACCCCCGUAAAAUACUAUAUAUAAAUGAAGAAUUUGAAAUCAAACUCUUUGAUAAUAUAUAGAAUACAUACUAUAUUUAUUGAAUAUCAAUUAUUGUAACAUCCCCGAUGUUACGGUUACUAAAAGUGGAUCAUGUCAUCAUGAGCAUUACAUAGUAUUUUUGUUAAGCACACACUGAUGCACUAACUUAAAAUAAGUUUAAAUUUGGUUGAAUGUGCUUAGGAAUUUAAGUGUGUUUAUUUUGUGUAUGGAUGUUUGUGUUGGUGAUUAAAUCCCUUGGGUGAAAGUUUUCCGAGAGCUAAAAGGGGAAAAACCCUAAUUUUAAACCCUCGAUUUGCCCCCUUUUGUGCAAUUUAAAAACUAAGCAAAAUUUGAAGUUGUGUUCAAAAUCAAAGUUGAAGAUCUUGUCAAGAUGUACAACUUUGGUGUUUUGAGUUUUUGAAGUUUCAAUACAAAAUUCAAAGUAAUUUUGAAAAUACAGAUUUCCGGAAAGUGUCCCCUUUUCUAAUUUGAGUCUUCAAUUCAAAAUCUAUUUGGAAUUUUGAAAAAUGGUCAACAUGAAAGUUGUAGGGCUUGAAAAGUUGAACAACUUUCAUGUUGGGAGUUUUUCAAGUUGUUUUGGAAAAUCAAAAGUAAUUUUGGAAUUUCUAAUCUGCCCCAAAUAAAAAAAUUGAAAAUUUUCCCAAUUUGAGAUUUGAUUUCAAACUGUUUGGCUCAAAUUCGUCCCUUUCCUUUUGAAAUCAGUCUUGGACCCUUAAAGAUGUUUUGUAGCAUUCAAAAUUCUGAACAAGUUUUAUGUUGGCAAAAAUUUGACUUCUAUUCAAAUUUUGGUCGAUUUUCGCAAAAAGACAGAAAGGGUAAAUGGGGAAGAGGGAGAUAAGCUUUGGUCACUGUUCUUGGCGGUGUGCAGCUGGUCUUGGAUCAGCGUUUGCCAGCGCGUGAGCACCGUUUUACCUCGUCCAAGCACGUGCUCGCGUCCAUGGCGAGGUGAAGCAGCUGCUGGCGAAGUGGAGCGCGGCGUGUCCCUUCCUCUUGCGCUCACCGACGUCGUUUUGCCACCGGAGCACCGACGGACAGCGUUUCACUCAAAUCCAAAAUUCACCGCAACGGUUGAUCCAUAUCCAAAUUCACCGUGGGCAUAUCUUUGUUACCUCCUUGCGCAUCUCCAGCACCCACCCUUCUUUUCUCUUUCACACCAGAGCACCGGAAUUCAUCGUUUUUCCCUGCCGCCGGCGACAGAGCGCCACCGUGGUCAAGCUCACCGUGGUCAGCCCAUCCGGGCAACUCUCUGCUCUCUCUUUCUCUCGUCUUUGCUUCGACAUGACCCCGUGAUGCUCAUCGGCUCGUUCUUUUCUCCGUUGCUUCACAGCUGUCGCCGGAACAUCAUCUUCUUCGUCGGAGUUCGCCGCCGGAGUCACUGGUCGCGUGGACGAGUAUCACCCGAUUGUUCUCCGCUCCUUCUCUCUGCGUCAGCACACCCAGGGUGAGAUGCCGAUGCUUCCUGACCUCUUCAUCCUAUCUCUACCGGUCCAGGGUCACCGGCGUAAGCGCCGCCGCGGCCAUGUCCGCCGCCGCUCGUGGCCAGAGCUCGCUAGAGCAGUAGAAUUCGAGUUUUCUAGCUCGUUCGGUUGCGGGUUGCUUGCUGGUGCUCGUGCUCGCCUAAGUUUGGUUCGGGGUGGUCGGAGUUGGCCGGCGUAACCCAUGCCGCCGCGUUAUGCCGCGCUCUGGUCAGCCGGGGCGUCGGGGACCUCGUUGUUGUAAAGAUGAGAAAGGGGAGGGGGUUGGUUGCGAAGUCCUUGACUCAAGUGAACAGUCGUAUGGACUGCGGGUUAGUUUAGUUUAAGCCGAGGGAUCUUUUUGCAAGAUCGCCAUGGGGCGCGGGUGUUUGGCCGGCUGGGCCGCUGUGCGCGCGCAGUGGGCCGCUCAGCUGGGCUAGUGCUGGGCUGAAAGCCCAGUUAGGGCUAAAAUUUGUGUUUUUCUUUUUGUUUAUAUUUAAACAGUAGCUAGUUUUGUUAUUUUUGCUAUAUUUAAUCUAUAGCUCUGAUGUUCAUGAAAAUUUACAUGCUAUCUUAUGAUAUGUCUGUGCUAAUAUAAAAAUUAUCAAACUUGUAUAUUGAGUAACUUUUAUGUGAUAAUUAAAUCCAUGCUUUAAUUAAUAAAUGAAGCUUUGAUGAUUUAUCUAGCUCUCUGUAAAAGUCCAAAAAUUAUGAAACUUUACAUGUGAGUUUGUGUUACUGUUAUCUAUCUCCAUGAAUAAUUUCAACUCUUUUUGAUAAAGUAUGAUUUGUUCCAUAAUAAAGCUAAGAAAUAGAAAUAAUUAAUCCCUUUAGGAUUUGAGUGGUAUUUUGGAUUGAUUGACAACCAGUGGUUACUUAGCAUGAUAUGCUCCCUGGUUAUGGAUUAUUUUAUAUAAAUGAUCUUUGUUGUUUGAUAGCUACACAACAUUGCUUAAUGAAGAUGCUAAAAUUUGUUUAGUAGUAAUCUAUGCUUUGAUAGCUAGGUUAGUUUGUUUCUUUACCAUGAAGGUAAAUUGUACUCGAGGCAGUUAUGUUUGUUGUUAUCAUCCAAGAACAUGUAACCUGUCUUUAUCAUGUCAUGAACAUCGAUUUGAUCAUGCAUAUGCACUUUUACGUAUAGACUACGCUCCGGAGGAAUCUGAUCCUCAGUGGGUUGAUUCCGAGUUUGUGGAUCCUUCGAGUUUUGCUGAGUUGUCGAACUUCCCUUCCGGCCAAGGCAAGCCCCCGAACAUUAAACCCUAUCCUUGUAUUUUCAUAACGUUAUUUAUAUCACUUGAGUUAAUAUGAUGCAUUAGGUGAAUAGGAGUUGAGUGAAUCCUAUUUGCUGCAUUAUCUACCUUGAUGAUUUCCAUAUUAACCUUGAUACUUGUUUUAUGAAAAUACUUAGUAUGCUUAGCCCUGCUUAUUAGAUAGGUUUUCAAAUGAGAAAGUUUGAAGGGUUGUUGUGGAAUACUUUUAUGGUUAAUAAUGUUUAAACUUGAGACCGGUCGGUGGACUUGCUUUAAGAAUGGAGUCUUAAAGUAGUGUCUCCAACUGUGUCGAUUAAGGACCGUUCCGUUGAUGGCCUGCUGUGUUUGAGACCUUUGAGUACAGCCCACAUGCGAUGGUAAGCCUUACCUAUAGCUAUUCCGAUACUUGAGAACGGCUAACCGCGUACUGGGAGUGGAGAGAUGGCGAGAGUAGCGUGUACCCACCUUACGGAUCUGAGAUGACCGGGAAACAUCUAGAUUGGCUGUAGGAUGGUGGUGUACUGUACUCUCGGGUGACGCUGGACCCGUUCUUGUAUGGGAGGAUCUAUAGAAAAGGUUGACAUAUGCAAGAUUAAGUUCUACAUAUGUCGUGUGGUACUGAAUCCCCAGCUGGGUUUAAUCGAUUCGAAUCGUCGUGUUUCCUCGGAUAUGGAGCCUCAAUCCUCACACCAUCAUCGUAGUAAUAAGUGAAUCUUUGGUAUAAGAAAGAUAUGGUUUGCUUAUGAAAGUUUGAUAAUAAUUUAGUUAGUCAUAAAUGAUAACCUUGAGUUAAAACUUGAAAGUAAGUUUUAAUCUUAGUAAGCUUCUAUGCAAAAGAAAUGCUUUGAUUUUGCUAAAGCUUUACCUUGAAUCCCUAUAGCCUGCAUACCUGAGUCUUCACCUCUUUUAUAGUCGGUUAAGUCUUGUUGAGUACUUUUGUACUCAGGGUUUAUUGACCCAUGUUGCAGGUGAACCUUUUGAUAAUCCUUUUGAUGGUCGUUGUUACUUCACUCUUGUGGAGGAAAGUGAUGAUGAUGAAUCUGAUGUGUGACCUUGGGCAAGUAAAAACUUGUUGUGUGGAUUAUGGUUUAUGUAAAAUAAAGUUCCGAACCUUUUAUGUAUUAAAUACUCAUGGUUUGUAACCGUUGGACUUAAGUUUCAAUCUAUGUUAUGUAACCUUUCCGCUUUUACUCUGAUUUAUCUUAUCUUUGAAAAUGUUGUAAUGCUGUAAUGCUUAAUGGGGGAAUUCCUAGAAAGAAUGUAACGUGGAUGAUUCGGGUUUCCCGAGGACACCCGACAGACUUCUUGAGUCAUUUGGUUCUCGUGCACGCCGAUCAGAAGUCUUUGAGACAAUGAUGGGUGCAUGUGGGCCACUUAAUUCAGGAGGUUCUGCCACAAUUAUGCAUACAAUACAUUUAUUGGAUAUCCAAACAAAGUAGUGAUGACUUUAUUUAUUUACAACACAUAUAUAGGACAUAAUUGUGCUAAUUAUUACAAUUAUGAGGACACUAGUUCUUUGGAAUCUAAGAGAUUGGGAGCCUAUUCGAGGUCUCCAUAUAUGUCGUUGGAAGCAUAUUCCACGAUCAUAUUCUCUGUGUCAGCAAGAUCCUGGCCUCCAUGUAUGUCGUUGUUGCUUGGUUCCAUAGGAACUUGUUGCGAACAACCAGCCUCUUCCCUGGUGGUGUCAGGUUGAAGAUUGAAGUGGGCUUCAUACUUCUAUCCUCGAGCAGCACGUCCACGUCCCACAGACUUUAGGUAGAGAUCAACAAGAUGACUAGGGGUACGACAUUUCUUUGUAGCAUGGCUAUAGCAACCACACUUUUGACACACAGGUUUGUCAUUCAUGCAUUUCGGAAUGUCUUUACCCUUGUUGGGAACACGAUUUUGGGAUUUCUUAUUGCGUCUGCGAUUGUUUCUACCUUUCUUAGGGUUUCCUUGAUGAUGGUUCUUAGAGGAUCCAUCAUUAGGCUUGGAUUUAUUCUGAGUGUAAGCAUGUACUUCAGGCAAUGGAGCAGACCCUAUAGGGUGCUGCUGGUUAUUCCAAACCAUAAGUUCAGAAUGCUUUUCGGCCUCAAGUAAGGUUUGAAUCAACUCAGAGUAAACCUGGAAACGCCUUUCGCGGUAUUGUUGUUGAAGAAUCCUUUCAGAGGGAAGCAUAUUAGACAAAGUCUUUUCUAUCUUAUUCGCAUACGUAGGUUCUUUCUCGCAGAAUUGCAACUUUGAGCUAAUUCUAUGAACAACAUGAUUAUACUCACUCACAGUUUUGAAAUCCUGUAAGCGAAGUUGCAUCCACUCAUAGUUGGCCGCGGGCAAGACAAGUGCCUUUUGCUGUUCAUAGCGUUGCUUAAGUGAAGUCCAUAGAUUGUGUGGAUUUUCUUCCAACAAAUAUUCAGCCUUAAGAUCAGGGUGAAUGUGGCUCCUAAUAUGGUAUAGGGUUGUAUAAACGUGUUGAUGUUCAAGCGGUGCAACCCCAUCUUCGGGUGGUAACACUGCUCGAUAAAGUCCACAGGACGAAAGACUAACUUUUAUGUCUAUAGCCCAUAUGGGAUAAUUGUGGCCGUCUAGAGCUAGUAGUUCAAACUCUUCGACAGUCAUUGAUCC
rnacentral:lncRNA from 1 species